GGUUCUUAUGUUUCCAGCGGUUUUCUCUGGGAUUAUUGUUGAAAUGUAUUGUUACUUAUAAUUUGGUCUUCAAGAACUCUACAUUUACCAUUCAGUAAUGUAGCACUCAAAGCUGCUUAAUUUGAACUAAGAAGCAGCUAGAAAUUGGGUUAUUUCGCUCAAGGAUGCCUGCAGGUAUGACAUUGGGAAUCGAACCAAGAACCAUGGCUUUCAGUGAUCCAUGGGGUCAAAGUUGGUUCGGAGGCCAAUGGAGUCCAGGCCCAGGCCUUCCUCCAUACUCCCCCUCCUAUGCUCUCACUACACUCCCCUCAGACCCCGGACUUACCGUCGAAACACACACAGAGCGACACAGUGAUGCAGUUCUUUCUCCUUCUUGCUCCGUUUUGACCCAAGACAAACAGGUGAUUCAGUGACCGGAAGAGAACAAAUAUUUGGGUCUGACUUGGUCCCUCAGCAGCCCAUGUCUGUGACUUGGAAGUGAGGGGAAGUGGAGUGUGGGUGUGUAUGUUGACUGUGUGACUCUCUGUGUGUGUUGGCUGUGUAUGCAUCGGUCACUGGUGGCUCUUGGACCAUGCUUCAAAAUUGCCCAAUGUUCUGUCAUGGUUAUGUGUGUGUGUCUGUGUUAGAGUGUAUAUAACCCUGUGUCUCUAUUUAUACUGAAGGGCAGGAGGAACAGCGGAAAGGAAAGCAGAAUGAAGAGACGUUUCCCCGACUCUCUUUAACCCCAACUGACCGUUGCUCAAACUCACACACCAGGACUCUGCGUGGCGCGUCGCUGCAAGGCUUUAUGGACGCCUACAGCUACACCCCCAACGUGGAGCCUCUCCUGGCCCUUGGGGGCCCCUGCCCUGGCGUCCUCCCAGUACCACGGCCUCAUGCAGAGCAGCCCCACCAUCUCCGUCUCCGUCAGCUACGACGCCGGGGACGAUGGCCCCGCGGCCGGCUACUACACGACCGGCGGGCCCCUGGCCAACGGGGGGGGGGGCCCCGGCGCUGGAGAGCCCGCGCAUCGAGAUCACCACGUACGGCCAGUUCCCCGGCGACGACGACCUCGACGGCGGCGGCGGCGGCGGCGGGGACGAGGAGGAGGGGGGGGGCCGAGGAGAGCUGCCUGCCCCUGGGCAAGCGGCUGAACUCCAUCGUCACGCUGACCCUCCCCAACGCCGACGGCUACCGGGACCCCAGCUGCCUCAGCCCGGCCAGCAGCGUGUCGUCGCGCAGCGGCCACUCGGACGCCUCGUCCUACGAGUCGGGCUUCUCCUACCACUACGACCACUCGCCGCAGAACUCGCCCUGGACCUCGCCCAGCGUCUCCCCCAAGGGCUCCACCCUGGCCCUGCCCGGCGGCGGCGGCGGCGGCGGCGGGCCCCGGGGCAACGGCGGCGGCUCCCCGCUCCACUCCUCCUCGCCCUGCGCCUCCCCCGGGACGGACCCCUGGGCGGGGGCCCUGCGGGGGUCCCGGCCCAACUCGCCCUGCGGCGCCAAGAGGAAGUACAGCUUCAACGGGGGCGGGACGGCGUCCCACCCGGCGCGGCCCGCCUCCUCCUUCCCGUACUCCCCCGGCGGCUCCCCGGGGCCCUCCCCCCGGGGCUCUCCCCGCCUCAGCGUGACGGAGGAGUCGUGGCUCCCCAACACCAACCAGUACACCAACUCGGCCAUCCUGGCCGCCAUCAACGCGCUGACCACCGACGGCGUGAUCGACAUGGGGGAGGGCGUGCCCGUCAAGGCCCGCAAGACCAGCCUGGACCCCGGCAUCAGCCUGAAGACGGAGCCGCGGGGGGGCGAGGGUCCGGGCUCCGGGGGGGAGCUCGGGACCCCUCGUGCGGCCGUCUGGCCCUGAAGAAGGAGAGCUACUGCGGGGGUUCCUGGACGUGCCGCAGCACCAGUACUCGUGGUCCAAGCCCAAGCUCUACGUCAGCCCGUCGCUGCCCGCCCUGGACUGGCACCUGCCCAGCAGCUCUGGGCCUACAGCCUGCAGAUGGAGGUGGAGCCGCGCUCCCACCACCGGGCCCACUACGAGACCGAGGGGAGCCGGGGGGCCGUCAAGGCUCUGGCGGGGGGGCACCCCGGUCGUCCAGCUCCACGGCUACAUGGAGAGCGAGCCCCUGA
ensembl:lncRNA